rnacentral:rRNA from 1 species
UACGUAGGGGGCGAGCGUUAUCCGGAUUUACUGGGUGUAAAGGGAGCGUAGACGGUAAGGCAAGUUUGAAGUGAAAUCCCAUGGCUUAACCAUGGAACUGCUUUGAAAACUGUUUAACUAGAGUACUGGAGAGGUAAGUGGAAUUCCUAGUGUAGUAGUGAAAUGCGUAGAUAUUAGGAGGAACACCGGAGGCGAAGGCGGCUUACUGGACAGAAACUGACGUUGAGGCUCGAAAGCGUGGGUAG